GCAGGUAAAUCAGAUGUUAUUGCAUGAUAAUUAUUAUUAAACCAAAUGAAUGCACGAAAUGCAGAAAAAUUAGAUAUGGUGACCACUUUAAUUUCUUUUGCAACUGUUUUAAAGUUUGGUUAAUGUUAAAUCACCACGUUGUGCUAAACUGUUAAUUGCCAUGUUUUAAACCAUCGUUAACACGGCCACGACUUAAUUAAACGAGAGGACGAACUAGUUUGUUAGUAUAAAACUGUUUUAAGCCAUAAUUAUAAGUUAUGUACACGAGAUAGGAACGAUUAAAAAAUAGGCCUAAAAUUGGCGGUAAAAUGAAUGACUUAUUUAUCAUAUUUGUUCGUUUUAUGUUUGUCACAUAAUAGGUAAUGAGCCCGUUUAUAUAUGCACAACAACAAGCUGAUAGCUGUUCAGUUUGUAUGAAAGUAUGGAAAAACACAUUCAGACAUUAUGUUGUUGGUUCGAGGUAACGUAGGCUAAUGUGCUACAUGCAUCGUAAAAUAUGCGUUAAAUGCCACAAUCUACUCUCCUCCAUCCAGUUUAUUGUGUUUGUUUGACCAUUGACGUUGUCGUUUUGUUAAUCAUAAUUGGUGGAUCAACCGCACUGGAUGGGUGCAGAGCAGAGGCAGCCGGUAAAGUUAGUGGCUUUCUAACUGCUGAUUUACAGCACCUGCGACACAGACAGGAGAAAUAAUAUCAAGCUAAUGCUUUAUAAGUAUCAUAUAUAUUUGUAAGCAAAACUUGAUGGCUUGGUCAAUUGAUAAACGGUAUAAUCCAUGUAUUAUUUUAGCUCUUCCUGUCGCCAUUAGCUAACGAGCAUGGCAAAUGGGCUACAGCUAACACGUGCAUGACAAAAGCAUGGUUUUCUGCAUUUUGGCAGUAUCAUGUGCUAGUUUAGUUACAAGUAGAUUAAAUGAACAUAACUACUACGUUCAAAUCCUAACAAUGAGUGUUUUAUUCCGAAAAAAAUGCUGGUUUAGGCGGAGUGCAGAGGACACCCGAAAUGGAUCCGAAUCUCUACGAAAAACGACUGUGUAAAUUCUAUAAAUUCAUUCUUCAAGCUUCAUACAAGCUCCACUUGCCACCUGAAACCAAUGUGCUCCUAAAAGAUUGUGCUGGAGUUGAUGUGGAUGCUGAUAUUUUUGAUGAUGUCCUCCAAGUUGAGGCAGAGUUCUCUGGAUCCUGAUGGAUACCCUGAGUGAUAAUUUUCAUCGGUAGAAUCAAAGUUCAGACCUCACGGAGGAUCCCACCAUGUCUGGAUAUACAAGUAUGCAGUACAUCAAUGCACUUUCUCAAUUGACAAUCUUUGGUAAUAUAUAAGGCUGUCUUUGGAGAUGACAUCUCAUCUCAAACAGAAUUAUUUGAAAAAUGGAAACGUUUUACAGGAACAUCCAAAAUAAUUGCUGACCAUCAAAACAUACGACAUCUUGCACAUGUUAACAACCUUUUAUCUGGUCAGCAGCAGUCUGAUUAUGGAUGGAACAGUGAUGUGGCAGUUCUCUUGCUCCUUCAUCUCUUGCCUCAAACUGUAAACAGUGAAACUGCCCAGAUCAUGCUGUGAAGUUUAUGAAGGUGGGGAUGAGGAUUAAUAUGCUCAUUGAGCGAGUUGGAUUGACCCAGACCUUCCUUCUCUACGUUGGGGAAAUGUAGCAUCCGGAAGUUCUACAUCAUCCUGGACCAGAAAGAGUCCUCUGCAAACAA